rnacentral:rRNA from 1 species
CCUACGGGAGGCAGCAGUGAGGAAUAUUGGUCAAUGGGCGCGAGCCUGAACCAGCCAAGUCGCGUGAGGGAUGAAGGUUCUAUGGAUCGUAAACCUCUUUUAUAAGGGAAGAAAGUGUGGGACGUGUCCUAUGUGGUAUGUACCUUAUGAAUAAGGAUCGGCUAACUCCGUGCCAGCAGCCGCGGUAAUACGGAGGAUCCGAGCGUUAUCCGGAUUGAUUGGGUUUAAAGGGUGCGUAGGCGGCCUUUUAAGUCAGCGGGGAAAGUCUGUGGCUCAACCCUAGAAUUGCCGUUGAAACUGGGGGGCUUGAGUAUGUUUGAGCCAGGCGGAAUGCGUGUUGUAGCG